rfam:Brachypodium distachyon strain Bd21 chromosome 4, whole genome shotgun sequence.
AACAUACUCCCUCCAUCCCAUAUUAAGUGACUCAAAUUUAUCUAAAUAUGUAUGUAUCUAUGCGUAAAAAGCGUCUAGAUGCAUGUAAUAAAAAGUCACUUAAUAUGGGACGGAGGGAGUAAUUG